rnacentral:rRNA from 1 species
GGGGCAUCCGCGUCCCGCCAAAGGGAUUACCGGUGGCGGAUGGGCAUGCGGCGCAUUAGCUAGUCGGCGGGGUAACGGCCCACCGAGGCGACGAUGCGUAGGGGUUCUGAGAGGAAGGUCCCCCACACUGGUACUGAGACACGGACCAGACUCCUACGGGAGGCAGCAGUGAGGAAUAUUGGUCAAUGGGCGCGAGCCUGAACCAGCCAAGUCGCGUGAGGGAUGACGGUCCUAUGGAUUGUAAACCUCUUUUGCCGGGGAGCAAGCGUGCGUUCGUGAACGCGCGUCGAGAGUACCCGGAGAAAAAGCAUCGGCUAACUCCGUGCCAGCAGCCGCGGUAAUACGGAGGAUGCGAGCGUUAUCCGGAUUUAUUGGGUUUAAAGGGUGCGUAGGCGGGAUGCCAAGUCAGCGGUAAAAAUGCGGUGCUCAACGCCGUCGAGCCGUUGAAACUGGCGUUCUUGAGUGGGCGAGAAGUAUGCGGAAUGCGUGGUGUAGCGGUGAAAUGCAUAGAUAUCACGCAGAACUCCGAUUGCGAAGGCAGCAUACCGGCGCCCUACUGACGCUGAGGCACGAAAGCGUGGGUAUCGAACAGGAUUAGAUACCCUGGUAGUCCACGCAGUAAACGAUGAAUGCUAACUGUCCGGCUCGAAUGAGCGCUGGGCGCUGAGCGAAAGC